rnacentral:lncRNA from 1 species
CAAGAUCCCUUCGAACAGUGCACGUUGACUUUGUCGUGGGAAUGGCCUCACAGUCUACAACUAGUUUUUGACUUGAAGAUGUUACGGUUUAAUUCCGUGAAGCUAUGGAAGAGAUUCCAUGGAAUGCUUGCAGCUGGAAAAUUAUCACACCAGAAAUACAUCAUCGUAUUUCAAGAUUGCGUCUUAAAGUUUUCAGGAUGAAGUGUCUCCCAGUAAGGAAGUGUCUCCAAUGUCUCACCGCUUCUAUUAUGGCCUAGGCUUCCUUCUCUAUGGAUGCAUGCUUCAGCUCACCGCCUUAAAUGGUUCGUGGGAAGAAGGAAACAGGUCUUCCAUUCUGAUUGAGAGUGGCUGCUAGUGCUACUUCGGACGCAUCUGUCUCGACCUCAAAGGGAAUGGUCUCAUCUAUAGUGGUGACAGCAGCAUGUUCUAUUGUCUUCUUGAGACUUUCAAAGGCUUCAACAGCUGGUGGAGGCAGAGGUAAUGACUUGCAAGAGGGAAUUGGCUUGAUCCGAUCUGAGAACCUUGGGAUCCAUUGGGAAUAAUAGGAGAAUAAUCCGAGACACCUGCUCAUGGACCUAGAGUUGUGUGGAACGGGGAGUGCACUCAGGGGUCGUAAACGAUUAGGAUCCGGCCGUAUAGUACCCUCCUUAAUGAUGUAUCCGAAGACAGGGAGACGCUAGGUUGAGAAAAGACACUUUCCAGUGUUAUAACAGAGGUUCUUGCAUUUAGCAGCUUGAAGAAAGUGUUCCAUGUUAGUGUCAUAGUCCUCUUGGUCCUUGCCGCAAAUAGUAACAUUGUCAAGGUAAGGGAAGCUCGCCCCAAGAUUAUCCUCAUCUACAAACUUCAUCAUCUCUCUAGAAACAGGCUAUGCCAUUGGUGACCCCAAAGGGCAAGACCAGAGUUUAGUUUCUCAUCAGUGUGACACCUAAAAUCUUAAUUGAUUGACAUUAAAGUCAAUUUUUCUUCUUUAGAGUUUUCACAUCCUAACAGCAUACAUUGAUAUUUGUCACAGUUCACUUGCAAUAAAUUGUCCUUGUACCAUUUUGUGGACCUUUCUCCAUCUUUUGCAAGAUUCUUUACCACUUUUUCACUUGUGUGGCCAGCUACGUAGACUUGGUGAUGGUUGGGGUAUAUGGAAACACUUGCUUCUCCCACUUGCAAUGGUAAAUCAACUUGGAAAAUGUUCAGAAAAUGUUGUAGUUGUAAUGAAAUAACUCCUUUCAAAACAUUCUUAGGCAGGACAAUACAUUUCAUAGGUGUCAUGUAAGGCUGCAUUUCAUAAAUGAAGGCAUCAAAAGGAAGCAGUCGCUUUCAUGGCAACCUGUUACAUUUCUUUUUAAAUAUUAAUUUAUAGCUAAUGGUAAAUUUCUUCCCAUUGUGUCCAAAAUAAAACAUUUUCAGCAAAACAUUUUUUAACAAAAAAUGGUUAAAAUACUUCAAUCUUUAUGCCAAAUGGCUAAAUCUGUUUGCCUUUUGAGAGCUAGCGGUUAACCCCAGUGAAACCCUUUCGAUAUAUGGAUUAAUUCUAAACUUUCACUUAUACGAUUCUCUCGGCGAAGUGAUAACAAAUCUUCAUUAAAUACAACACAUCUUGCUGGGAAAUUUAUCUAACUGUUGCUAUCUUUGGACCUUGAUCCCUCGCAUGCAGAAUGGCCUAGGGGCAUAGCUUCUCUCCUAAAACCAGGAACAG